UCCUUCGGGACUGAGUACAGUGGCGAACGGGUGAGUAACACGUGGGCAACCUGCCCUAGGGAGCGGGACAACCCGAGGAAACUCGGGCUAAUACCGCAUGAUUCGCAGAGCCUCAAGGUUCUGCGGGAAAUGGUAGCUUCGGCCUCCGCCCUGGGAUGGGCCCGCGGCGCAUUAGCUUGUUGGUGUGGGUAACGGCCCACCAAGGCGACGAUGCGUAGCUGGUCUGAGAGGACGAUCAGCCACACUGGGACUGAGACACGGCCCAGACUCCUACGGGAGGCAGCAGUGGGGAAUCUUGCGCAAUGGGCGGAAGCCUGACGCAGCAACGCCGCGUGUGGGAAGACGGCUUUCGGGUUGUAAACCACUUUCAGGGGGGACGAAGCUUCCGAGGUUAAUAGCCUACGGGGUGACGGUACCCCCAGAAGAAGCCCCGGCUAACUACGUGCCAGCAGCCGCGGUAAUACGUAGGGGGCGAGCGUUGUCCGGAAUCAUUGGGCGUAAAGCGCGUGUAGGCGGCUUGAUAAGUCUGGUGUGAAAUCUUGGGGCUCAACCCCAAGCCUGCACUGGAUACUGUCAAGCUUGAGUCCGGGAGGGGAGAGCGGAAUUCCUAGUGUAGCGGUGAAAUGCGCAGAUAUUAGGAAGAACACCGGUGGCGAAGGCGGCUCUCUGGAACGGUACUGACGCUGAGACGCGAAAGCGUGGGGAGCGAACAGGAUUAGAUACCCUGGUAGUCCACGCCGUAACCGAUGGGCACUAGAUGUGGGCGGUGUCGACUCCGUCCGUGUCGAAGCUAACGCAUUAAGUGCCCCGCCUGGGGAGUACGGCCGCAAGGCUA
rnacentral:rRNA from 1 species